CAUGAGGAUCUUCAAGAUUCUUCAGCCACAAAAAGUCAUCUAGGGUUUUAAAAACUUGCGGAAUUUUAAAUGCCUCAUUUGCCCAGUUAACUCCUUUACUAACUCCUUUCUUUAUAAACUCAAAAUCCUUAUGCACCGUUUCUCCAAAAUGACUAAAAUUCCCUAUCACCCUCACUUCUUUCCCUUUCGCCGUUUUCGACUCCCAUGAUUUUCGCAGAAAGCAAUAGGUAGGCUUUAUCGAAGACGACGCCGUAGUAGCAGAAGCGGAAAUUACAGCAGCUAGAGUAGCCAUUUGGCUUGUAAAAAUGGCGGCGUAAUUUGGUAAAAAGAAAUGUUAUUCAAUAUAGUUUAAUGGUAAUGAUGGUAAGCUAAGUUAAUAGUAAGAAAAAGGAGAAGAAGAAGAAGAAGAAGAGAGUGAAGAUAAAUGAAAGGUAGACAUUGGAGUAGCGUUUGAAGCAGAAGAGAAAGCGUGUGUGUGUGUGUGUUUUUCCUCGUGUCCGUUAUUUUUUGCGCCCUGUUGUGGCUAUGGUUAGUGGGGAGACACGGAAGUGCAGAGAUGGAAUCAGGUGAGGUGGUUUUCUUUGUGGAGUUGGAUACGUGUCUAAUGUUGAUUAGUGGUGUCUUAUGAGUUUUUAAGAAAAAACGUGCUGUGUAGACCGUUGAAUCUCGCGGGCUAAAGUUGAGAUUAUUUGUCUCACUUGCACAUCAAAAUCAAAUUAUUUGAAGGCUUAUGAUUUUCGUUUUUAAGGCCGCAAAUUUAUUAAAUAGAAUUAACAAGAUAUUUUUAUUUAGGUUUGG
rnacentral:lncRNA from 1 species